UCUUCUUUCUGUUCUUAUGUUUUAAAGUUUGAAUCCAUAAGUGAUUAAAGGCCACAAGUGAUUAGUGAUUCUAGACAGACUCUCCUUAUAGAAUUAUAGUUUUGCCUUUAAGUCAUUUAACAUGUUUUUUUUAUUAUUCUUAAGUCCAGCAUCAGUCUUAAGGCUUUUUACCAACUGACCUCAGUAUUAAUACCCGCUGGAUUAUGAGAAGAACAGAAAGUUCGUUCUGGAGGUUGCUGUGGAGAACGAAGUUCCUUUUGCUUUACCCAUGACCACCUCUACUGCCACUGUCACCGUCAACGUUCUGGAUGUGAACGAGGCUCCUGUGUUCAACCCAGUGGAGAAGGAGAUUUCCAGAGCUGAAGAUAAUCAGCUGACCAUGAACACUUUCUUUUCAUAGACGAGUCUCAGAACUGACUGAGUUUCAGGUAUCAUGUGAGCUCUGAUCCGACAGGCUGGCUGAACUGAUAUAAUUCAGUUAAUACAAAGCAACAAUCUUGACUGCUGAUAAUGGUGUCGUGCUCAGGGUGCCUCACACUGUAUAGUGCGGCGGCAGUGUUUACCAGACUGGAAGUGUGAGAAAUGUCACCUCAUACUAAUUUAGACUAUUACGGUGUGUACUUCUUCAUUCCUUUGUCCACAUGCGUGCAGCUCUUUCGUGCUUCGUUGAUAAACCACUUCUUCAUAUCUGUACCAUCACUAUCAUGUCUGUAAUGUAAUACUGGAUGGUAACAAUCUAGCUGGGGGCAAAACUGCCCCCUUUUUAAGCAAAGUGUUUGCUGUUGGUGAAAAGACCCCACAGAGCUUCUAGAAAAAUGGGGCAAGGUAGCAAAAACCGUUAUUAAUUUAAUCUGUUUGCAUUAGACACCAAAGACCUGCUUGUGUUACCCAACACAUUGCCGGGCCUAGUUUUACAGUGAUGGCACCAAAUCCUGUAUCAUUACCUUUCUCAUCUCAUUACAUUUCCUUUUGUGCACCUUUUAUCAGUCAGUUGUGGCCAGUGCUCUUUUCUUUGGAGUGGUUUGCUGGGGUGAGAGUGCUAGAACAAUGGACUCUAACCGAAUAAACAAACAGAUCAAAAAGGCCAGCUCCAUAGUGGGGUCUGAACAGGACUCAGUUCAGCAGGUAGCAGAGUUAAGAAUGCUCACAAAGCUUAACUCAAUUAUCAAAAACAAUUCACACCCACUUCACCCCCUGGAGGUGUUUCGACAGAGCACCUUCAGUCACAGACUGAUUCCUCCUAAAUGCAGGACUGAACGCUACAGGAAAUCCUUUCUUAUAACUGCAAUUAGACUGUUUAACAAUUCACAAUAAUCCAAAUUAAUCAUUUAUAAGAAAUACCAGUUCUGUAUGCUAUGCAUGCACAUUAAACCAAUGGUUACAUAUCUCAAU